GAAAAAGGUUUUCCAAAGGAAGCAGCAUAGAAAAGUAUUCAAAAGGCUCACAACAUGUAGACAUUUCUAGUGUUGUUGUUUGGUGCUCAGUGACUGUAUUUAUAUUCAGGAAGCGAGAAACUCAGACUAUCAACAGUUUCAACAGGUGUGACUCCAAAGCAGAACGACCAGAGGUGUGACCACCCACGACUGUGCACUAAUGGGCAAGGAGCCAGAACAUCCUCAGUGGGCAGCCAACACAAGCACAAAGGGGAGAGGUCAUCGACUGUGAGACACUGGGAAAGAGAGUCUGGCUAGAAGCUAAUUCCAUUAUUUCCACAAUUUGCUUUUGUUAUUUACAUUUGAACAGGAAGUAAAGUUUUGAAAAUAAUAUAAUACAGGCCAGAUUGCACCGAGUGAAUCAUA